CGUGGGUGCCAUAAGAUCUGCUAAUUCUUUAACCUGGAAUUAAACACCAGCUCCCUC
rnacentral:tRNA from 1 species